GAUGAAGAACGCAGCGAAAUGCGAUAAGUAAUGUGAAUUGCAGAAUUCAGUGAAUCAUCGAAUCUUUGAACGCACCUUGCGCUCCUUGGUAUUCCGAGGAGCAUGCCUGUUUGAGUGUCAUUAAAUUCUCAAUCUUUACAACUUUGCGUUGUCUAGAUUGGAAGUGGGGGUUUAUCUGUGUGGAAUUCAGUUCCUCACUCCCCUUAAAUGUAUUAGCUGGAAUGCCUCCGCAUAUCUGACUAUCAGUGUGAUAAUUAUCUAUGCUGUAGUUGUUGCGUGAGGGUAUCUGCUUCAAAAAUCGUCGCAAGACAAAUUCUAUAUGACCAUCUUGACCUCAAAUCAGGUAGGACUACCCGCUGAACUUAAGCAUAUCAAUAAGCGGAGGA
rnacentral:misc_RNA from 1 species